rnacentral:rRNA from 1 species
GAUGAACGCUAGCUACAGGCUUAACACAUGCAAGUCGAGGGGUAACAAGAGGAAAGCUUGCUUUUCUUGUUGACGACCGGCGCACGGGUGAGCAACGCGUAUCCAACCUGCCUAUAACUAGGGAAUAACCUUGCGAAAGUAAGACUAAUACCCUAUGAUUUCCUUUGAUGGCAUCAGAUUAGGAAUAAAGAUUUAUCGGUUAUAGAUGGGGAUGCGUCUGAUUAGCUUGUUGGCGGGGUAACGGCCCACCAAGGCAACGAUCAGUAGGGGUCCUGAGAGGAAGGUCCCCCACAUUGGAACUGAGACACGGUCCAAACUCCUACGGGAGGCAGCAGUGAGGAAUAUUGGUCAAUGGGCGGAAGCCUGAACCAGCCAAGUAGCGUGCAGGGUGACGGCCCUAUGGGUUGUAAACUGCUUUUAUACAGGAAUAAAGUUAGCCACGUGUGGUUAUUUGUAGGUACUGUAUGAAUAAGGACCGGCUAAUUCCGUGCCAGCCGCCGCGGUAA